UGAGGAUCAAAAUCAUGAAAACCAGGACA
rnacentral:piRNA from 1 species